rnacentral:rRNA from 1 species
CGCGUAGGCGGGCUGCAAAGUCCGGGGUGAAAGCCCCCCAGCUUAACUGGGGAAGUGCCUUGGAUACUGGCGGCCUGGAGGAGGGUAGGGGCGUCUGGAACGGUCGGUGGAGCGGUGAAAUGCGUUGAUAUCGACCGGAACUCCGGUGGCGAAGGCGAGGCGCUGGACCCUUUCUGACGCUGAGGCGCGAAAGCCAGGGGAGCAAACG